UGGCUCAGUUGGUAGAGCAUGGUGUGUGCAACGCCAGGGUUGUGGGUUCGAUUCCCAU
rfam:Salmo salar isolate Sally breed double haploid chromosome ssa28, whole genome shotgun sequence.